AACAGAUAUAGUACCACACAGACUGCUUAAGACAGCAGAGGGUGGGCUGACUUUGAUUGGCACACCGAAGCAAUGCGCGCGCGUCGGGUGUUUGUGGCACGAAGUUAGAACCUGUAAUUUAAAGAUUUAAGAACUAGACGUUUUUUAUUUAUUUUUAUUUAUUAGAUGUUUUUUAUUAUAAAUAAAUAGCUUACAUAAGAUAGCCUGUAUAAAAUAAAUGUUUGUGAAAACUUUUAUUGUUGCCGCUUUUUCGGAAAUGAUCCAUUUGCUCAUAAUUACGAUAACUUUUCAAGUCUUUUGUGAAUUCAGAAAUGCUUCCAAACAUCCCAAAACUCUCGCGGUGCUGCUCCAGACAGGACCUCUUGAACUGCCUCUUGAACUUGAAAAUGCUGGCGUUUCUGACACAUGAGCAUCCCACAGGGCGACUGCUUGAGAAGAGUCAUUAGCGGGCGUUACAUCGGCCGACUUUACAACUAACACCAUGAGGGCCCGAGCAGAAAUGUGAUGAUGCCUCAGGUUCACUGGUGCUGACUGAUAUGGAGAAAGAGAAAGAGAGAAUCCCCACACCUCUGACACCUGUGUGCUGAAAGUUGUCUGGAUCACCUGGCUCCGCGACCAUGGCAUGAAGCAAGGGGGUGAAACCUGAGAGUGGAGAUCCGAAAGGUUGGAAGUCAUAGACACCGUGACGAGCCACGGUCGGAUCUGCUGGAAGGAAGCCUUGAAGUGUGUCCUGCUCAACAUGAAAGCAUUGGUUUUGGCUGUGAAUGAACAUCAAAGCAAAUCUUCUUGAAGGUCAUUUUAAUGGAUCCUUACGUUCCUAUCAAUUCUGAGCCAAAAGCUUAAUUUUGAAGCUAAAUUUGGAUUUUAAAGCAUUUUUGUAACAAAAAUUUGUAUUUUUCUUUUCUUUACCUGUACAAAAACAUGAUUCUUAAAGGAACAUUCAGUUAUUUUUAUGUUGCACUAUGCUGUCAUCUUGGGUUUAUAGUGGCACCUAGUGGUUUGGAUGAAGCAUUAUGCAAAAAUGUUAAAAAAUGUAUACAUUUUAAGUGUCAUUACAAUUUUUUUUUUACCUGCUUUAAUUAUGUGAAUGCUCUGUGCAAAAUUAUUUGAAACGGAACACAGGUAAAUAUCAUUCCUCUACAAUUCUUAAAUUGGAACGCCCAUAAAUCAUGUAGUAUCUGUAAUAAACUGAUACUGUAGCUGGUAUGUUGACGUUCGCAAUACAAGUGAACAUUGUGUGCA